UACGUAGGGGGCAAGCGUUGUCCGGAUUUAUUGGGCGUAAAGCGCGUGUAGGCGGCCACGCAGGUCCGCUGUGAAAACUCGAGGCUCAACCUCGAGAUGUCGGUGGAAACCGCGUGGCUAGAGUCCGGAAGAGGAGAGUGGAAUUCCCGGUGUAGCGGUGAAAUGCGUAGAUAUUCGGAAGAACACCAGUGGCGAAGGCGGCUCACUGGUCCGGUACUGACGCUGAGGUGCGAAAGCGUGGGGAGCAAACAGG
rnacentral:rRNA from 1 species